CUAAGUUUGAUGGCGACCGGCGCACGGGUGAGUAACACGUAUCCAACCUGCCGAUGACUCGGGGAUAGCCUUUCGAAAGAAGAUUAAUACCCGAUGGCAUAGUUCUUCCGCAUGGUGGAACUAUUAAAGAAUUUCGGUCAUCGAUGGGGAUGCGUUCCAUUAGGUUGUUGGCGGGGUAACGGCCCACCAAGCCUUCGAUGGAUAGGGGUUCUGAGAGGAAGGUCCCCCACAUUGGAACUGAGACACGGUCCAAACUCCUACGGGAGGCAGCAUG
rnacentral:rRNA from 1 species